rnacentral:rRNA from 1 species
GACGAACGCUGGCGGCGUGCCUAAUACAUGCAAGUAGAACGCUGAAGAGAGGAGCUUGCUCUUCUUGGAUGAGUUGCGAACGGGUGAGUAACGCGUAGGUAACCUGCCUUGUAGCGGGGGAUAACUAUUGGAAACGAUAGCUAAUACCGCAUAACAAUGGAUGACCCAUGUCAUUUAUUUGAAAGGGGCAAAUGCUCCACUACAAGAUGGACCUGCGUUGUAUUAGCUAGUAGGUGAGGUAACGGCUCACCUAGGCGACGAUACAUAGCCGACCUGAGAGGGUGAUCGGCCAAACUGGGACUGAGACACGGGCCAGACUCCUACGGGAGGCAGCAGUAGGGAAUCUUCGGCAAUGGGGGCAACCCUGACCGAGCAACGCCGCGUGAGUGAAGAAGGUUUUCGGAUCGUAAAGCUCUGUUGUAAGUCAAGAACGAGUGUGAGAGUGGAAAGUUCACACUGUGACGGUAGCUUACCAGAAAUGGACGGCUAACUACGUG